rnacentral:rRNA from 1 species
UACGGAGGGUGCAAGCGUUAAUCGGAAUUACUGGGCGUAAAGCGCACGUAGGUGGUUUGCUAAGUCAACUGUUAAAUCUUGAGGCUCAACCUCAAAAUCGCAGUCGAAACUAUUAGGCUAGAGUAUAGUAGGGGUAAAGGGAAUUUCCAGUGGAGCGGUGAAAUGCGUAGAGAUUGGAAAGAACACCGAUGGCGAAGGCACUUUACUGGGCUAUUACUAACACUCAGAGACGAAAGCUAGGGUAGCAAAUGGG